rnacentral:rRNA from 1 species
CUACGUGCCAGCAGCCGCGGUAAUACGGAGGAUGCGAGCGUUAUCCGGAAUCAUUGGGUUUAAAGGGUCCGUAGGCGGGCUAAUAAGUCAGAGGUGAAAGCGCUCAGCUCAACUGAGCAACUGCCUUUGAAACUGUUAGUCCUGAAUGGUUGUGAAGUAGUUGGAAUGUGUAGUGUAGCGGUGAAAUGCUUAGAUAUUACACAGAACACCGAUAGCGAAGGCAUAUUACUAACAAUUAAUUGACGCUGAUGGACGAAAGCGUGGGGAGCGAACAGGAUUAGAUACCCUGGUAGUCCACGCUGUAAACGAUGGAUACUAGCUGUUUGGUUGCAAGACUGAGUGGCUAAGCGAAAGUGAUAAGUAUCCCACCUGGGGAGUACGCACGCAAGUGUGAAACUCAAAGGAAUUGACGGGGGCCCGCACAAGCGGUGGAGCAUGUGGUUUAAUUCGAUGCAACGCGAAGAACCUUACCUACUCUUGACAUCCAGAGAACAUUC